UUUUUACAGAAUAAAAUACAUAUAUUUAAACACAAUUACAUUCACACAGAUUAUUAUAUCAUGGAUCUUAAGAAAGAGAUUAAGUGACUCCCUCUGGAGAAGUGGAAUGGAAAAUAUGCUGAGACAAAUAGGAAAUUUAUUCUAUGCUUUAUCCCAUUUUGUAUGGCUUUCAUCUUUACUAUUUAGUAUUAUCUAUUACAUUUCAAUUUUUCUUUAAAAAUUAGCUUUAUAUUAAAGUUGUGUAUAUUAUGUAACUAAAGUUUAUAAAGAAGGAAGCCUUAUAUACCAUUAAAUAUCUUAUAUAACAUAAUAAAAAGAAUAACUUGGGAGUUCCUAUCGUGGCGCAGUGGUUAACGAAUCCGACUAGGAACCAUGAGGUUGCGGGUUCGGUCCCUGCCAGUGGGUUAACGAUCCGGCGUUGCCGUGAGCUGUGGUGUAGGUUGCAGACGUGGCUCGGACUGUGGCCCUGGCAUAGGUUGGUGGUUACAGCUCCGAUUUGACCCCUAGCCUGGGAACUUCCCAUAUGCCGUGGGAGCGGCCCUAGAAAAGACAAAAAAAAAAAAAAAAAAGAAUAACUAGUAAGAAUAACAAAAAUAAUACACCCUCUGAAAAUAAGUAAAAUAUAAGAUGCACAAAUUGGUUAAAAAACAGUGUAACUAUAUAAAUAUGUCCUCACAAUUUGUUACAUCUUAUUGAUUCUUCAAUAUAGGCAUUACACCAUUCUAGGUGAUGUGAUAAACAAGACAUUAUAGACCUUACAUUGUACCAUGGAGAGAAAAGGUUAUUAAUAAUACAGUUGUAGAACUGUAUUAUUUAAUUGUACAGUUGCAUUAAUUAUAAUUAUCAUAAAUUCUUUCUGAUUUAUCUCCAGGAAAUCAGAAUCAGUUUUAAGAAGACUUCAGCAUUCCAAGAAUGAUGUCAAAUGACCCCCUUCAUGGUGGAUUAUGCACUUAUUUACUAUUAGAUAUAUUUCUUCUCCAGAGAUUCCUUGUUUGUGUAUCAGUUGUAGAUUUUUGGUUUGCAGUUACUCUGAAGUUUUGAUAUAAGAGUCUACAUGUAUAUGAGAUUGUUUUAAGUUGUUGGUCUCUUCACUGCAAGUUCAUCUCCAGUGUCCUGCAUUUGUACCCACCUCUUCUCAUGAUUUCUGAUUUUGGUGGUAUAAUUGUGCAUGGAUGAUUUCGUAUCUUUACUGUAUAUAUACCGUUACUGGUGAGCCUUGUCAUUUGUGGAAUUUUUGUUUCUGAUUGUGGCCUUUUCUUUUCUGCCUAGAGAAGUUCCUUUAGUGUUUGUUGUAAGGCUGGUUUAGUGUUGCUGAAUUCUUUCAACUUUUGCUUAUCUGUGAAGGUUUUGAUUUCUCUUUCAAUUCUGAAGGAGAGCCUUGCUGGGUAAAGUAAUCUUGGUUGGAGGUUUUUCCCUUUCAUCACGUAAGUAUGUCAUGCCACUCCCUUCUCUCCUGCAGAGUUUCUGCUGAAAAACCUGCCGACAACCUUAUUGGGGUUCCCUUGUAUGUUACUUGUUUCUUUUCCCUAGCUGCUUUCAAGAUUUUCUCUUUGUCUUUAAUUUUGGUUAGUUUGAUUAAUAUGUGUCUUGGUGUAUUCCUCCUUGGGUUUAUUUUAUGUUGUACUCGUUGUGCUUCCUGGAUUUGAGUGAGCGGUUCCUUUCCUAUGUUAGGGAAGUUUUCAGCUAUUAUCUUUUGGAAUAUUUUUUCUGUCCCUUUCUCUCUCUCUUCUCCUUCUGGCACCCCUAUAAUACGGAUGUUGGUGUGUUUCACAUUGUCUCAGAGUUCUCUGAGACUGUCUUCAUUUGUUUUCAAUCUUCUUUCUCUUUUCUGUUCUGCAUCUGUAAUUUCCACUAAUCUGUCCUCCACCUCGCUUAUUCGUUCUUCUGCCUCUAGUAUCCUGCUGUUAGCUGCUUCUAGUGAGUUUUUUAUUUCAGUUAUUGUAUUUUGCAUCUCUUCUUAAGUUUUAUAUCUUGUAUCUCUUUGCUCAGUGUUUCCUGUAAGUUAUCCAUCUUUGCCUCCAGUUUCUUUCCAAUGUCUUGCAUCGACAAUCUAAAGUCUUUUUCCUGGAUGCUGAGAAUCUCCUCAUCGCUUAGCUGAUUUUCUGGGGUUUUUCCUUUCUCCCUCAUCUGAGUUAUAGUUCUCUGUCUUUUCAUUUUUAUAGGUUUUUGGUGUGGUGACCUUUUUACAGAUAAUAGAGUUGUAACCUCUCUUACUUCUGGUGUCUGCUCCCCUUGUGGCUGAAGUCAGUAUGGGAGCUUGCUGUAGGCUUCCUGAUGGGAGGGGCUGAUGCCUGCCCCCUGGUAGGUGGAGCUGAUUCUAACUCCUCUGGUGGGUGGGGCUUAGUCUCUGGAUGGGAUUAGAGGCAGCUGUGUGCCUGAGGGGUCUUUAGGCAGUGUGUUUACUGAGGGGUGGGGCUGUGAUCCCUCCUGGAUUGUUGUUUGCCCUGGGGCUUCUCAGGCUGAUGGGUGGGGCCAGAUUGUCCCCAAAAGGUCACCUCCAGAGAAAGGCACAGCUGCUGAAUAUUCCUGAGAGCUUUGCUUUCAAUGACCAUCCCUCACAACAAGCCACAUUCACCCCUGCUUUCCCAGGAUGUCCUCCAAGAACUGCAGUCAGGUUUGACCCAGCUUCCUAUGGAGACUUUGCUUUGCCCUGGGACCCAGUGCAUGUGAAAGUCCGUGUGCACCUUUUAAGAAUGGGGUCUCCGUUUCCCCCAGUCCCGUGGAGCUCCUGCGCACAAGCCCCACUGGCCUUCAAUGCCAGAUGCUCCAGGGACGCUUUCUCCCAGGGCCAGGUCCCCGCAUGUGAGGGUUUGAUGUGGGGCUCGGAACUCUCACUCCUGUAGGUGAGUCUCUGUGAACCAGUUAGUUUCCAGUCUGUGGAGCUUCCCACCCCGGAGGUAUGGGGUUGUUUAUACGGCAAAAUCGCCCCUCCUACCUCUUGAUGUGGCCUCUUCUUUUUCUUCUGGAGUAGGGUAUCUUUUUUAAGGUUUUCAGUCCAUUUGGGUGGAGAUUGCUCAGCCUUUAGUUGUGAAUUUUGUUGUUUUUAGGGGAGAAGUUGAGCUCCAGUCCUUCUAUUCCGCCAUCUUAAUCCUCUCUCCACUAGUCAGGUUCUUAACCAGCUGAGCCACAAUGGGAACUCUUUUUAUCUUCUCAUUCAGGCAACAUAUAUUCAUGAAGGUACCAUGUCAGGGACUGUGACAGGCUGACCAAGUCCCACCCUCUGGAGUUCAUAGCCCGGGGAGUGAGAAAGAAAACCCAAUAGGCUCUUCCCUCCCAGAGUGGCAGGGGCAGCAUGGGGGUGGGGAAUGCAAAGAGCUGAGGGCGAGAGAAGAAGGGCCUCUGUCCCUGUUUGGCAGCUGUCAGAGCAGGCUGCCUGGAGGAAGCGAUACACAGGCUGAGAUCUGAAGGACCAAUGAGAGGGCUGAGCAGGUGGAAUGGGAGGGAGGAGGUCUGGGAUGGGGGAGCAGCUUCCGGGUCUGGAGGCAGGAAGAGAAGGUGAGGAAGGCAGAGUGAGGAGCCCGGUGGGAUGCUGUGCUUGGGUCCUGGCCCUCCUCCCUGGCCUGGGAGAUGGAAAUAACUGAUCCCUCCUCUGGCCACCGUCCUGGCUGCUGACAGUCUCUCUCCUGGUACCGAUGGCCUCGGGCCUGGGGGAGGCUCUGGUGUGGAGCCUGGGGCGUCAGAAGCCGGUGGCCAGAGAGGGCCCUGGCUCUGGGACUGAAAUCCCUGGGGUGUCCUGGAGGCCACCUCGGCCAGAGCAUCUGCAGUCUCUGGACAGGGCUGGGCCCUGCAGAGUCUGGAAAAAAACACAGCACGCCUGGAAGGAUGAAGGCGGCUGGAAAUCUUGACAGGUUUCUGGGAUGUACAUUUGAGAACCCAGAGAUGACACAUGUCUUGCCUAAUUUCAGGACGGUGGAGGCGGAAGGGAGAGGCCAGCCGGGCAUGCCCGUGGGUCCAGGCGGGGGCAAGGGCCUCUGGCUGGCCGCCCCACCCCCCACCCCGUAGUUUCCGGCGUAAAAGAGCGAUGAGGUUUAUUUCCCUUCUGACAACGCGUCGAUUCGACUUGCCUACUCCGCUGGGCACCCCGGUGCAGAUGAAAGAGGGCGAUGCAUCAAACAUUAACGAUCUCUGCCCGGGAGGGGGUGUGCGGGCUGCAGGCGCCCUGCCCGGGGAUCUGCCAGCCUCGCAGCCUCGCUGGCUGAGGACCAGACCGCGCAGGCGCAGACGCGGCCUGGAAAGCAGAGCGGGGUGGGGGGGGGCAGAGGCCCUCUCCGUGCACACUCACCCCCACCCACACAUGAAAGCCGGCCCCGGGGGUGCCAGAAACUGACCACAGAUCAAUAUGCCUCCCUGAUCAGCUGCCUCGUGCCAGUGAGGCCUGCUGCGUGCCAGGCGGCGGGGAGGGGGGGUAAGCGUCUAUUUCAUCCUCCACAGCCUUCAGGGAGCUGCCAGCAGUUCGGACUGGACGUGGUGAUGCCUGCUGACCCUGGGCGUGAUGCUGGGUCAGCUCUGAGGGUCCCCGCUGCGGUCAGCCGUGCAGCCCACGCGUCUCCUAGGGGCACCUCUGUGGCCAGGCGUCAGGAGGGCUCAGAUCCGCUUCCCUGUGCGGCAGUGCUUCU
rnacentral:lncRNA from 1 species